rnacentral:lncRNA from 1 species
UCACACAAGUAUUCAACAAGUCUCUUACAUUAAUAAAAUGCAAAAUGAAAAUUAUCAAUUUUUUGUCUAAGUGAGAGUUACGAGUUGGCAAUGCCUAGGCGUGUCUUGGUGGUAUAGGUAGGCCCUAGGCCAGCUAGGCGGACGCCCAAGCAGGUCUAGACAUCCUUUCUUAAUUUUAAAAUGCCUAGGGAUUAAUCGGGUCGGUAACCAGCAACCUAGUGCCUAGGCAAGAAUUUUUAGAAAGUGGAAGUUGCUAAUCUAAGGUUUCUAAUGGUGUGGUGGUUUUGCAUGAGCUAAGGAAGUUUAUUAGAAGCCUCAGGAUUGAAAGAACGCUUAUCCCUAAAGAACUAGGGUUUCGUGCACUUAAAGAAAGCUUGUCGUUCGUCUUCCCCUCACGUGGUUAUCUUAAGUGAGGACUCUACUCUAUUUUAGCUUAAUUUUCAAGGUUAAUUGAUUAAGUAUGUCCAAGUUCUUUUUAUGUUUGGGUAUUUUAGUUACGUAUGAAAUUUUAUUUCUUGACAAAUGACAUUAGUUCAAUGAUUGGAAAGUACCAUUCACCCUUUAGAUGCAUCGUUAAUGAUCUUCUCCAAAAAAAAAGAAGAAAACAAAUAAGACUAAUUGAUCAUCAAAAUAGAACAAAUAAGUAAAAUUUUAUGAUUGGAAUGCAGGCCGUAUUAUGGUAGUAUUGACCUUAAAAAUUACAAAGCCUAUGUGGCGCGUAGGUUGAGUAAUUAUGAGUUAACUAAGUCUUUCUUAUGAAUGUUGGCGUGCCAACUUGCAACUGUGCUCAUUAGGGUUAGUAGAAUAAAUAUGGUGGUGGUGUCGAAUGCCUUAAUGACUUCUGCACUUAAGCGACUACGGCAGAUUAAAGGAACACCUUUCAGCCUAGGGUUCUAGUACUUAAAGACAGGGUUGCCUAGUUCAUUGCGAAGUUCAAGAUCUUCGGCAUCAGGUUCGGGUACCUCAACUAUAUUCGUGAGAAUAUAAGUGCGCCGAAUCAGUAUCAGGUUGUAGGGACAUAUGUACUCAAAGUAGAUGAGCAUUUUUAUGGUGAACGUGGUUCAGCAAUCUAAAUGCUGAACUACAAAAUGCACCUAAGAGUAACCAAUCAUAUAAUAUUUUACUUUGCUGGAAAGCUAAUGAAGUGACCUCUAUGGGCGAAAGAAUUAAGAAUUCUUCGCCAGUUAAGACUUGGAUUGAUAACUAACUAACCAGAAGCAGUGAUGUUAAUCUAAACUGAAGAUGCCUAUAAAUUUCUUAAUUCUACGACUCUAGUGUUGUUAAUCCAAACUAAAGUUGUCGCCAGUUGCAACACAGUACUGUUAAUCCAAACUAAAGGUGUGUUGACGAUAGGGUUAGGGCAUUUAGUAUUUUUCUCAAGGGUGUUAGAAGGGUUUUGCUUAGGGAUAGGGUUUUGGCAUAAAGUGUUUGAGUUGUUUGUGAGUUGAAGAAAGGCUUUUCACGUCAUAGAACCUCUUCUACUAUAGGGAUAGCCUUCAUGAUAAACAAGUCUGCCGAGGUAGAGUUUUGAUGGGACUGUAUUUGCUUGGCAUGUACUUGAAUAUUCCCUUUAUCUCUUUGAUUCCCUUCUUAGCCAAGCCUUCAUCUUCAUCCAGUCUCGGUUUCUUUGUUACAACCUAGGAUUCUGAACUUGACCCCAUUGUGGGAUUAAUUCAUUCUUAUCUGAUAAAAAAUGAAUUCUAAUCCAUGGGAUAAGUUGCAUUUUAAUCAGGGCUUUAUUAUCAUCCUUGGCAAUUUCAAAUUGCCUAAGACUCAACUGAGCCACAUCUGAUCUAAUCCUCACACAAUCCUAUUUUCAUAAAGAUUCGGUCAAAUCAACCCUUUCUUGGGCUAAAACCCAGCGGCCUGAGGGAUUUUUACUAGGCCCAUGAUUGUGGCUUUCUAAUUUAGGUUAGUCCAUUCUCGGUCCAAACAGUUAUUCCAGACCUAAAUAGAUAGAAUAAGUGAUCUAUAUAUUAAAUUCCGAAAUUCGUUAUAUUUUCAAUCUCGUAGAACCAAGAGAAAAAAAAAGAAGGAACUUGAACUUAAUUGGCUUUGGCGCGCAGGAUGAGAUGGACGAUCUGAGUUCAUAUAUUCUGGCAAUUGAUAGGGCUGGCUGGGUGUGGUGAAAGUGAUCCAAACCCAAAGCUCUCAGUGAAAAGUGAAGCUUGUGAUAUUCAGGAACUGGCUGAUCAAUUACAGCUUGGGCCCAACUCAUGCAAUUUGGAGUUGUAUCAAAAGCGUUGCGUACCCCACAGGCAGGCUACUCACUCCUUUUUUAAC